UACGUAGGGGGCAAGCGUUGUCCGGAAUCAUUGGGCGUAAAGAGCGUGUAGGCGGCCCGAUAAGUCGGAUGUGAAAUCCCCAGGCUCAACUUGGGAACUGCAUCCGAUACUGGAUGGCUUGAAUUCGGGAGAGGGAUGCAGAAUUCCAGGUGUAGCGGUGAAAUGCGUAGAUAUCUGGAGGAAUACCGGUGGCGAAGGCGGCAUCCUGGACCGACAUUGACGCUGAACGGCGAAAGCUAGGGGAGCAAACGGG
rnacentral:rRNA from 1 species